UCUGUACAUAUAGCAAGAGUUUCACUAUUCUCUAGUGCUGCUGCAAAUUGCCACCCAAUCUCUUCCCAUCAAUUGGGGGAAUUUCAAUUUCUCUUCUGCUCCCCACCGAGACUUGGUUAAAAAUACAAUUAAAGAGCACAGUACUGACAUUCGGACAAAAGGUAACUUGGUCAACAACCAGAACCAAGGAGAACGAAAGCAGUCCCCAGACUCCCCACACAUCCUUCAGGUGAAUUUCUUAAGAGAUCCAGCUACUAUACUUAUCAUAGCAAAUAUAAUCAAAUAACUAAGAAGAACACCAUCGAAAUAGCAUAACAGUAAACAACCAUGGCUCCAUCAAAAGCAAACUCAGCUUCUCAGGCCGAGCUGGAAAGUACAGAACAGUAACAAGCCAACCAGACGACAAUUCAAAGAUACAGGAUUCAAAUAUUAGAGAAUCCAAGUGUACUAAGUUUACAAUAACUCACCCUCACAUCAAAUACUAGUAAUCUCAUCUCCAGUGUUAUAAAACUUGACCAUGAGUGUAACAACAAAUAUUCAGCCUAAUUCACACCAAGGAUGUGCAUCCAAAUUCCCAUUGAGACAGCCAAAGAUUGAUGUUUGACAGCUACCGACUCUUGUGGUGGAGCUUUUGAAUGCUGCAGCAUCAGUUUCAAGAUAUCUUAUCUGAAGUUGAAAGAAAUACAUCAACAAGAACACCAUGCAUCAGUAAAAAAAUAAAAAAUGAUAAUUCCAUUUAAUAGAUUUACUCUUCCAGUACAUUGCCACCCAGAGAAGGAAAAAAAGCUCACUUCAUUCAUAGAAAAACAAAACAACUUACAGACCAUAUCUGCAGCAAUGUUCACCUAGUCUAAAUCCCCAAACAAGUGUAAAAUAUUUUUUAUUAUAUAACAAUAAUGCCACUGGUCAUUCUUUCAAAUAAUACUGUAUUACACACACCUGUCCUGAAGUCAAAUCUUCAACUGGGGCCCAUUCUGGAUUUUGAAUUUGUCACAUCCCUGCAGAACUUGAGCUAGUCACUACAAGGACAGUGUCUGAUUGGCAAGGAAGAACCACCCUCUCUCCUCCGUGGGACACGUUUAGCUAUUCUUCCAAUAUAAAGAGCUUGUGAACAGGUUUCAUGUGCUCAAACGUCAAAUGAAUUUAAGAGUGACAAAGAUUUCCCAAGCUAUACAUGAAAGAUGUAUCAAGGUUAAGGGAGGAAAAAGUUCAAAAGUAGACGAUCUACGAGGAGAUAACUACAUCUCGGCAGCAUAAACAUGACAUCAUCAACCACA
rnacentral:lncRNA from 1 species